GACGGAGGGGGCAAGCGUUGUCCGGAAUUAUUGGGCGUAAAGAGCUUGUAGGUGGUUUGUCGCGUCUGCUGUGAAAAUCCGGGGCUCAACCCCGGACUUGCAGUGGGUACGGGCAGACUAGAGUGUGGUAGGGGAGACUGGAAUUCCUGGUGUAGCGGUGGAAUGCGCAGAUAUCAGGAGGAACACCGAUAGCGAAGGCAGGUCUCUGGGCCAUUACUGACACUGAGAAGCGAAAGCAUGGGGAGCGAACAGG
rnacentral:rRNA from 1 species